UUGGUUUUCUUCUUGGUUUGACAUUGGAUAUGAAAAAAUAUCUACUAAAAAUUGUGUUCUGAUUUGCUGGAAAAUUUGGGAGGCAAGAAACAACCUCGUCUUUCGGCAGAAAGUCUCCUCCCCUGCCUCAGUUGUAUUCUCUGCUGCGGCAAUUGCUAAAGAUUUCAGAUGCGCCAACUCGGUGUCCAUUCCAACUGCUUAUUCAGAUUGGGCCUCCCCUUCUGUUCUUCGGCCUCAACGUUCAGACAUUAAAUGGAAACCUCCUCAUCCUGGUUUCUGGAAGCUAAACUUUGAUGGUUCCGUUGUCGGGAACAAAAGUGCUGCUGCGGAUUUUGUCCUUCGAGAUGAGCAUGGUAACCCUAUUUUUGUCGGGUCCAGGAAUAUCGGGAUCUCCUCUGUUCCAGUUGCGGAAGGAAAUGCACUUCGUGAUGGCCUCUAUCAUGCCCUUCUCCUCGGCUGUAGGAAGAUUUUGGCUGAAGGUGAUUCCAAGCUUCUAAUUGAUGUUGUCAAUAACAAGAGUGUCACUCCCUAGAGGCUUCGUACUCUUGCCAGAGAUAUCGCUAACCUUUCUAGCAAUUUUGAGCACAUUGUCUUUGCGUUCAUCCAUCGGGAAGCAAACUUUGUGGCUGAUGCGAUGGCAAAUCAAGGUCACCAUUUGAAGACUCCUACUACUUGGAAGGGGAGACUCCCCCUUUCUGCCCUUUCUGCUUUCAACUUUGAUUCUUUUAGUUUCGGUUGUCCUAGGGGCUUCCCCCUUUCGGUUGUAAUUUUUUGUUUUGCUCCUCAAAAAAAAAAAAAAAAACAGAGAUAAAAGCUUUGCCAUAGUUCUUACUCAAGUUACAUGCUUGAUAUGUAAUUGCGAAUACCCUGCAUCAUCUAGGCUGUCAUUUGCAUUUGACGCAAAGAUGAAAGGAUUUUGAGGUGCAAGCAAGUUCUCACUUCAACAUUCCCAUAUUUGUUGGCUACCAUUUUAUAUCAUAAAAUAUACAACAAUGAUUCCCCUGGUUUCAUUAAAUUUUGGACACUCUUCUUCCAGGUCUGCAAGGGGACAAAAAGAAAGAAUGUGCUUCUUGAAUAUUUGCUGAUAUUUCUAGGAAUGUUUGAAAGCUGAGUGUUGGCUGUUAUGAAUCUGUCAAAAAAAGUGUCUGUAAUUUGCGGUUCUGAUUCUAGAUGUAUGCCCUGGAUGUUAUCAACUUAUCAUCAACCCAUAUUGUUGUCCAAUUUGUUCUUAACUAUAAAAUGCUUUCUGGUGCUUACUUUGAAUCAUGCACACCAAUCUAUUGGCUAUCCGGAUGUGCAUCCGGCACAUUCAUCCUACUUGCGGUUCUACAUGGCCUGACCCAAAUCCUGCUGUACGUCCCAUACUCCCAUUAAAUAGUGACCAGCAUCAAAAGGUUCCAUGAACUACUUCUUCUUGCAGUCUAGACUAGUAGUUAUCAUUGAGCCUUUGAAGCACUUCAAGGAUGUUCACAUCAUGAUGAGGUAAUAAACUGUUCUUAAUUUGAGUUGCCUUAUUCAAACAGAAUUAGGCCGAUUUUUAGAUUCCAAUCGUCUCACUCGUUGUCGAAUCCCAUUUGUCUUGAUUUAGUGUUGCAGAUCCUGAGAGUUGUAGAAAACAUAUGGUCCUAAUGAUAUGUACAGCUCUAUGAAUAUUUCCACUUUCUGAUGUAAUCAUGAACAUAGCUAGAGACAGCAUCUCCAGAAUAUGCUAUUUAUAUAUGCAGGCAAACUGGAUCAUAUAAAAUGUUACAAUCAGUAAAUAUGAAAUUAAUCA